GGCGCCAUAGCCAAGUGGUAAGGCAGAGGUCUGCAACACCUUCACCAUCGGUUCAAAUCCGAUUGGCGCCU
rnacentral:tRNA from 1 species